rfam:Medicago truncatula strain A17 chromosome 3, whole genome shotgun sequence.
UGAUCCAUUGCAUUCUUUUAAUCUAGGAAAUUACACUCGAGUGACCAUGAGAUGAGGAUAUUAUCUCUCUCUCUCUCUAGUGUAUUUCCUUGAUUAAAGAAAUUCAUUGGAUCA